ensembl:lncRNA
CUCAUUAUGAAUGGUUAAGGUUUGGGAUAGAGUUUAAACAUUAAGAUUAGCCCCUCAUUAUGAAUGGUUAAGGUUUGGGAUAGAGUUAUAACAGAAUGUUUAGGGCCUCAUUAUGAAUGGUUAAGGUUUGGGAUAGAGUUUAAACAUUAAGAUUAGCCCCUCAUUAUGAAUGGUUAAGGUUUGGGAUAGAGUUUAAACAGAAUGUUUAGGGCCUCAUUAUGAAUGGUUAAGGUUUGGGAUAGAGUUUAAACAUUAAGAUUAGGGCCUCAUUAUGAAUGGUUAAGGUUUGGGAUAGAGUUAUAACAGAAUGUUUAGGGCCUCAUUAUGAAUGGUUAAGGUUUGGGAUAGAGUUUAAACAUUAAGAUUAGGGCCUCAUUAUGAAUGGUUAAGGUUUGGGAUAGAGUUUAAACAGAAUGUUUAGGGCCUCAUUAUGAAUGGUUAAGGUUUGGGAUAGAGUUUAAACAGAAUGUUUAGGGCCUCAUUAUGAAUGGUUAAG